rnacentral:misc_RNA from 1 species
UGACCCAAUACAUUCAAACUAGAAGCUUUAGUCAUGUGUGCCAAUGAUCUAUACAUAGAAGCUCAAACCCUAAGCAAAAAGAUUUCAACUAACAAGACCUAAACCAUCUAGAAAAUGGAGACUGUUAACAUCCAUAGCACUAAACAAGAAGGGUAUGUAAAAAAGGGCUACUGCAUACAGCAUGAACACCCAUCGCUUUGCGCGUGCACUCGUGAAAACAUCAAAAUAAAAAUAGUAAAAACCUCAAUAUAGAAACCAAAUCUAUAACAUAAGCGUCACACUAAUAAUAUACAAAUCCAGCGCUUCCCGUCAUUUUCCAGACUGCACAUAUGCCAGAGCUGCAUCUCCAAAGCUGUUGCUUUGUCUUUAGGUGUGAUUUGAGGUGAAAUUGACCCAACUUCACUGAUCUUUGGUUAAAAGGGUAGUACAGACUUGA